rnacentral:rRNA from 1 species
GAUGAACGCUAGCGAUAGGCUUAACACAUGCAAGUCGAGGGACCGGCGCACGGGUGCGUAACGCGUAUGCAACUUGCCUCACAGAGUGGGAUAACCCGUCGAAAGACGGACUAAUACCGCGUACUGUGAGAUAGGCAUGCGUCCCAUUAGUUAGUUGGUGGGGUAACGGCUAACCAAGGCAACGAUGGGUAGGGGAACUGAGAGGUUGAACCCCCACACUGGUGCUGAGAGACGGACCAGACUCCUACGGGAGGCAGCAGUGAGGAAUAUUGGUCAAUAGACGAGAUCCUGAACCAGCCAAGUCGCGUGAAGGAUGACUGUCUAUGGAUUUUAAACUUCUUUUGUAGGGGAAUAUGUACCCUACGAAUAAGUAUCGGCUAACUCCGUGCCAGCAGCCGCGGUAAUUC